GCAGAUCAGUGGUAGAGCAUCUGCUUCGCAUGCAGAAGGUCCCAGGUUCAAUCCCCGACAUCUCCA